GAUCAUGGCUCAGGAUGAACGCUAGCUACAGGCUUAACACAUGCAAGUCGCGGGGCAGCAUGUCGGUUGCUUGCAACCGAUGAUGGCGACCGGCGCACGGGUGAGUAACGCGUAUCCAACCUGCCCUUCACCACGGAAUAAUCCAGUGAAAAUUGGUCUAAUACCGUAUGAGGUCAUACGAUGGCAUCAGAAUAUGACGAAAGGUUUGGCGGUGAAGGAUGGGGAUGCGUCUGGUUAGCUUGUUGGUGAGGUAACGGCCCACCAAGGCGACGAUGCGUAGGGGUUCUGAGAGGAAGGUCCCCCACACUGGUACUGAGACACGGACCAGACUCCUACGGGAGGCAGCAGUGAGGAAUAUUGGUCAAUGGGCGCAGGCCUGAACCAGCCAAGUCGCGUGAGGGAGGACGGUCCUACGGAUUGUAAACCUCUUUUGUCGGGGAGUAACGUGCGGGACGGGUCCCGUAUUGAGAGUACCCGAAGAAAAAGCAUCGGCUAACUCCGUG
rnacentral:rRNA from 1 species